GAACUGCGAUAAGUAAUGUGAAUUGCAGAAUUCAGUGAAUCAUCGAGUCUUUGAACGCACAUUGCGCCCCCUGGCAUUCCGGGGGGCAUGCCUGUCCGAGCGUCAUUGCUGCCCUUCAAGCCCGGCUUGUGUGUUGGGUCGUCGUCCCCUCCGGGGGGACGGGCCCGAAAGGCAGCGGCGGCACCGCGUCCGGUCCUCGAGCGUAUGGGGCUUUGUCACCCGCUCGAUAAGGACCGGCCGGGCGCCAGCCGGCGUCUCCAACCUUUUUUUCUCAGGUUGACCUCGGAUCAGGUAGGGAUACCCGCUGAACUUAAGC
rnacentral:misc_RNA from 1 species